rnacentral:tRNA from 3 species
GCGCCGGUGGCUCAGCUGGAUAGAGCACCAGACUACGAAUCUGGGGGUCGGGAGUUCGAAUCUCUCCCGGCGCACCA